rnacentral:rRNA from 1 species
AUUGAACGCUGGCGGCAUGCCUUACACAUGCAAGUCGAACGGCAGCACGGGAGCAAUCCUGGUGGCGAGUGGCGAACGGGUGAGUAAUGUAUCGGAACGUACCUUUCAGUGGGGGAUAACGUAGCGAAGUUACGCUAAUACCGCAUAUUCUGUGAGCAGGAAAGCAGGGGAUCGCAAGACCUUGCGCUGAUUGAGCGGCCGAUAUCAGAUUAGCUAGUUGGUGGGGUAAUGGCCUACCAAGCCGACGAUCCAUAGCUGGUUUGAGAGGAUGAUCCGCCACACUGGGACUGAGACACGGCCCAGACUCCUACGGGAGGCAGCAGUGGGGAAUUUUGGACAAUGGGCGCAAGCCUGAUCCAGCCAUGCCGCGUGAGUGAAGAAGGCC